rnacentral:lncRNA from 1 species
UCUAUAGGAACACCUAAGCCUGUGUUCAGAGUGGAAAAGAUACAAGAAGGUAUAGCUGGCAAGAUGCUGAAUUACCUGAAUGGAUAGGGACCUCAAGAGCAGAGGACUGCGGUUUCAGGCUGCAGGCAUCUGAGAAGGCACCUCCAUUGUCAUGGCCUGACCUCAGCCUGACCAACCUGCCUCCCUGCUUU